GGGGGGGGGCUUUUUGUCGAUUUGAUGAGUUAAGCCCUUUACAUCUGAAUUUGUAUGGUAUGUUCCUUGGGUUUACUGUUACAUCAUUGUUUCAUGUAUUAAGUUGAGUAUUUUGCGCCAGCAAACAUGUUCACCACUGCCAAAUUCUGUGUGCCUGUCCCAAGUUAGGGUCCUGUAAUUCGAUCAGUGGUUGUCCUUCGUUGCGGUAUAUCAUAUGUGUUUUUCGUUUAUUGUUUUGUAAAUAAAUCAGGUCGUAAAUGUUUCCGUUUAAAUUGUUCAACAGUUGCUUAUUUUGGGCAUCUUAUUGCUCGAUAUGUAAAAUUAGUUUUGCUCAAUGUUGAAGGCUGUAUGUCAUUUGGUCUCUGUUGGAGAUAUAUUGAAUUGGUAAUCAUAUGACCUCCUCUUAUUUUUGUCCUGGUAGAAAUACAGCAAACGGAAGAGCUCUCCGCACUACUAUAAGUAAAGCAGGUAUUGUUUUCGAUGAUAUAACUAUUCACCAGGGUUGAUAUGCAAUAAAACAACUUAAAUUAAGAUGUCAAAUGGUAAUACUAAUUAAUCGUACUAGGACAAGUAGAAAAAUCAUCCAUUUGGAACAAAUCUUAGUUUUUAUAAUUUUAAGC
rnacentral:lncRNA from 1 species